AUACUUACCUGGCAGGGGUGACACCAUGAUCAUGACGGUGGUUCUCCCAAGGCGUGACUCAGCCAUUGCACUCUCGGCUCUGUUGACCCUUGCAAAUUCCCCAAAUGUGGGAAUCUCAACUGCAAAAAUUAUGAUAGUGGGGGACUGCGCUCGCUCUCUCCCCUG